rnacentral:rRNA from 1 species
CACGUAGGGGGCGAGCGUUGUCCGGAUUCAUUGGGCGUAAAGGGCGCGCAGGCGGCUCGGAAAGUCGGGUGUGAAAACUCGGGGCUCAACCCCGGGCGUGCAUCCGAUACUGCCGGGCUUGAGGCAGGUAGGGGAGAUCGGAAUUCCUGGUGUAGCGGUGAAAUGCGCAGAUAUCAGGAGGAACACCGGUGGCGAAGGCGGAUCUCUGGGCCUGUCCUGACGCUGAGGCGCGACAGCGUGGGGAGCAAACAGG